AAAAACUAAAACAAUUUGAUU
rnacentral:misc_RNA from 1 species